rnacentral:tRNA from 1 species
GCCGUUGUAGCUCAAGCAGAGCGGCGGGCAUUUAACCCGCGUCACAUGGACGAUACGCAAGAGCUGAUUCUUCCCGGGCCUGUCACCGGGAAGCGGAUGCCCUUGUGGUGCUGGUUCAAGUCCAGCCUUCGGCU